rnacentral:rRNA from 1 species
GAUGAACGCUGGCGGCGUGCCUAAUACAUGCAAGUCGAGCGAACGGACGAGAAGCUUGCUUCUCUGAUGUUAGCGGCGGACGGGUGAGUAACACGUGGAUAACCUACCUAUAAGACUGGGAUAACUUCGGGAAACCGGAGCUAAUACCGGAUAAUAUUUUGAACCGCAUGGUUCAAAAGUAAAAGACGGUCUUGCUGUCACUUAUAGAUGGAUCCGCGCUGCAUUAGCUAGUUGGUAAGGUAACGGCUUACCAAGGCAACGAUGCAUAGCCGACCUGAGAGGGUGAUCGGCCACACUGGAACUGAGACACGGUCCAGACUCCUACGGGAGGCAGCAGUAGGGAAUCUUCCGCAAUGGGCGAAAGCCUGACGGAGCAACGCCGCGUGAGUGAUGAAGGUCUUCGGAUCGUAAAACUCUGUUAUUAGGGAAGAACAUAUGUGUAAGUAACUGUGCACAUCUUGACGGUACCUAAUCAGAAAGCCACGGCUAACUACGUGCCAGCAGCCGCGGUAAUACGUAGGUGGCAAGCGUUAUCCGGAAUUAUUGGGCGUAAAGCGCGCGUAGGCGGUUUUUUAAGUCUGAUGUGAAAGCCCACGGCUCAACCGUGGAGGGUCAUUGGAAACUGGAAAACUUGAGUGCAGAAGAGGAAAGUGGAAUUCCAUGUGUAGCGGUGAAAUGCGCAGAGAUAUGGAGGAACACCAGUGGCGAAGGCGACUUUCUGGUCUGUAACUGACGCUGAUGUGCGAAAGCGUGGGGAUCAAACAGGAUUAGAUACCCUGGUAGUCCACGCCGUAAACGAUGAGUGCUAAGUGUUAGGGGGUUUCCGCCCCUUAGUGCUGCAGCUAACGCAUUAAGCACUCCGCCUGGGGAGUACGACCGCAAGGUUGAAACUCAAAGGAAUUGACGGGGACCCGCACAAGCGGUGGAGCAUGUGGUUUAAUUCGAAGCAACGCGAAGAACCUUACCAAAUCUUGACAUCCUUUGACAACUCUAGAGAUAGAGCCUUCCCCUUCGGGGGACAAAGUGACAGGUGGUGCAUGGUUGUCGUCAGCUCGUGUCGUGAGAUGUUGGGUUAAGUCCCGCAACGAGCGCAACCCUUAAGCUUAGUUGCCAUCAUUAAGUUGGGCACUCUAAGUUGACUGCCGGUGACAAACCGGAGGAAGGUGGGGAUGACGUCAAAUCAUCAUGCCCCUUAUGAUUUGGGCUACACACGUGCUACAAUGGACAAUACAAAGGGCAGCGAAACCGCGAGGUCAAGCAAAUCCCAUAAAGUUGUUCUCAGUUCGGAUUGUAGUCGGCAACUCGACUACAUGAAGCUGGAAUCGCUAGUAAUCGUAGAUCAGCAUGCUACGGUGAAUACGUUCCCGGGUCU